GACGAACGCUGGCGGCGCGCUUAACACAUGCAAGUCGAGCGAAGCGGCGGACGGGUGAGUAACACGUGAGUAACCUGCCUUAGACAUUGGUAUAGCCUCGGGAAACCGGUAUUAAUACCAAAUGGUCUAAGAUGGACUCGCGUCCGAUUAGUUAGUUUGUGAGGUCACGGCCCACAACGGCGACGAUGGGUAGCCGGCCUGAGAGGGUGAACGGCAACAUUGGAACUGAGAAACGGUCCAAACUCUACGGGAGGCAGCAGUGGGGAAUAUUGCACAAUGGAGGGAACUCUGAUGCAGCGACGCCGCGUGAACGAAGAAGGCGUUCGAGUCGUAAAGUUCUUUUAUAUGGGAAGCGGUACCAUAAGAAAAAGCCCCGGCUAACUACGUGCCAGCAGCCGCGGUAAUAC
rnacentral:rRNA from 1 species